rnacentral:lncRNA from 1 species
CAUCUGCAUUAUAUAUAUAUAUGUUAAUUGACUAUGAAAAAUACAGUAAGUACACUAAUUGAGUAGAUAUAUUAAGCAAAUUUUUCUAUUAUAAUUGUUCACACGUGCAUAGAUAAUUGUGACCUAUAUUUGUCAUUCCAUAUAUUCAUAAUUUCAUAUCAAUGAACGGUUUUGAGUUUUCACGAACAUUAUGGCAUGUGAAUAUAUGUAGUUGACAAAAUUCAAUGAAUUAAUUAAUUGUCAUUUAUAUCGAAUUCAGACUGUACAACAGAAAGCAAAAUAUUCAAAAUCAUUUGAAAUUCUCAUAUGUUUUAGUGUAGACUCCAUCAAAGCAUUUUUUUGGCUUAAGUUAUCCACUCACAACAGAGCAACUAUGAUACAAUAAUUUUUUACGAGAUUCACAUCAUUCAACCGUCGUGAGUUAAAACGGAUAACGUAAUAAGUCAUUAAGAUAAUUCAACCCUUUAACUAGUAAGCCAUUUAUAUCAAAUCUAGAAUGCACAAGAAAAACAUAAAGAUAAAAAUCCAAGAAUAUCAUAAAAAUUCUAAUAUCUAGAAUUAGGGCUAGGGACCCUACCUCCACAAGUAAAUCUCCCACAUCA